rnacentral:rRNA from 1 species
GAUGGCGACCGGCGCACGGGUGAGUAACACGUAUCCAACCUGCCGAUGACUCGGGGAUAGCCUUUCGAAAGAAAGAUUAAUACCCGAUGGCAUAGUUCUUCCGCAUGGUGGAACUAUUAAAGAAUUUCGGUCAUCGAUGGGGAUGCGUUCCAUUAGGUUGUUGGCGGGGUAACGGGCCCACCAAGCCUUCGAUGGAUAGGGGUUCUGAGAGGAAGGUCCCCCACCAUUGGAACUGAGACACGGUCCAAACUCCUACGGGAGGCAGCAUG